CAUCAAAUUGAAACACUGGUUCCCAUACGAUCAUCAAAGUUCAGCAACAUCAAGCAUGAUCAGUACUUAGAUGGGUAACCAUUUGGAAAUACUAGGUCCUGUAAG